rnacentral:lncRNA from 1 species
GAAAGGAAAACUUGCUUGAUUUUAUUCAAUAAACUUCUCCUUAUAUAGGAAGAAGUGUUCAUGCAAAAUGACAGAGAAGAGAAACCGUGGGAAUCUUAUCUCGAUUUCCCACUUACCAAAAGUAAGACCCAUAAUACUGACUGAUAUCUAAUAAUACAUGAACCGACAGUUUCACAUGCAUAUUAAGACAAAGUAUUAAUAAUGCUCCACUUAUAAAAGUAAAAGUAAUAAUGGCCAACAACUUUACAAUAAUGGCCGACAGCUUCAUAUGCUUCUUAAGACAAAAGACUCAAUAAUGGUGCUACUAUACCCAUGUGGGAAUAAUGCACCGAAAGAUGGAAUUGACAUCUCAUCUUUCUUUGUCUUGAUGUCUAGCACACACAACCACUAUCUUUUGGAUUAUUGAGGAGGAUACGUUCAUCAGUAGUCAGAAAAUACUGUCAUCAUCAUCCAUAGGCUGAGAGUCUUGCAUGAUGGCCUCUUUCUGUUUAUUGGUCAGGCUUGGAUCAUCCAGUGGGGUCGGAAGUAUAGGAAAGGUAAAAUGCUCAUUGAGUUGUCCAGUCCAUAGAUGUCCAUUGAAGGUGUAGACUAAUGGUGCAGAGACAUCAGUCGUCCUUAAUUAAUUUCUGAGUUGUAGGGCCCGCUUUAGAUUUUCUGUAACACCCCAACUCAAACUUUCCAUUGAAUAGCAAUAUAUAUAUAUAUAUAUAUAUAUAUAUAUAUAUAUAUAUAUAUAUAUAUAUAUAUAACUUUAUAAACAUAAUUUACUACUUAGUUACAAUAUACAUUCAUACAAUUUAAGUGGCAUGACAUACUUAAUAUAUAUAAGAAAUAUUUAUACAGUAGUUUAAUUCACACAAGUUCCCAAAAUGCCCCAAUGCUUUAGAUAACUCCUCUGGCCCACCUGAUAAUAUUGACUGAUGCAAAAAGAGCAAUGCACAGCUAAGGCUAUCUACAACUGCACUAACCUGAAAAAAAAAAUUGCUAAGGAAUGAGCUAGCGACUCAAUAAGUAUUUAAUUUACUAAACUAUAGUAUAUUAGGCUAGAAUUAUCAAAUCUUUAUCAAUACAGAAAAUUAUACCAACACUUAACUAACAAUNNNAAAUCAAUCAUUUCAGUUAUUCUCAUAAACAUAUAAUUUCAUCUCACGUAAUGCAAAUAAUCUCAAACUCAACCAAGUCAAAUAAUUCAAUUCCACAUUAUUUCUAUCAAAUUAGGAUCAGAUGACUCAUCCUUACAUUUCCUCACAUUUUUAAAUUUCAGUAACCACUUGACAAGACUAUCCGCCCGGCUCAGUCUUGCCAUCUCACAUACUCGGGUAGCUAUCCGCCCGGCUCAGAUUUCCCGAUCACACAAUAUCCAUACAAAAGUCAUCAAUCCUUAAUCACAAUCAUUUCACUUCACAACACAUCACAAUCAAUUCACUUCACAACACAUCACAAUCAAUUCACUUUGUAACAAGCCAAAAACAUAACUAAUAUCAACUCAGUCAACCAAGAAAUUAUCAAGUAAUCAAACAGCAGUCCCUACUCAAUAUACACAAAGUUUAGUCUAUUAAAUACUUACCAAAAGUUAUAGGAUAACAAAGUAAUCCUAUUCUUUUUCUCUUACCACUUCCUUGCCUUUGGAUGAACCUAUUCACAUAUUCAAUACAAAUACAAUUCAAUCACAAGGCAUAAAUAUAUAUAUAUAUAUAUAUAUAUAUAUAUAUAUAUAUAUAUAUAUAUAUAUAUAUUUACUAUCAAUAAAAUAUCACAUUUCAACAAAAUAACAUAUAUUCUAGAUAUUAAUAUGAUGCAUGAGAUGAAUGACAACAAAUCAACAUAUUUGUUGAUGAAGGCAGCUUGUAGGUACUGACUUAGAAAUUACACCAAAACUUAUGUACAAUUAAUAAAAAUCUCAUAUUUUUCAGAAUUACACUUCCAUUUUUAUAGAAACCAUAGCAGAAAGAAUCACCUCAAAAUCAUUGGUAUAGAAAUAGUUAUGGCAUUUUCUAUACAGCUGCUCAAAUUUCCAUCUAAACAGAACAGAAAAAAGUUUCCUAUUAAAUGACCAAUCAAACGAAUGAAUUUUCUGAUGAAACUCUCCAGAUAUAAAGUAACAUUCUAAAGUUUCUAUAGACACUAAUUUUACUCAAUUUGGACUUUUCUAGCUCAAGUUGUGAAACACAUAAUUAGCAACAAAUUUCUGAAUCCUAAGCCCGAUUUCUGCUUAAAACAGUUUCGGGCAGGCCAUAUUAAGUUCAACAUAUCUCAUGUUAUACUCAACCAAAAAUUAUGAAAUUUUUCAGACAUAUACUACAUAUAUAAAUGAACAACUUUCAUGUUUAACUCUCUGCUUGGUUCAGCCUCUAAAUGCCUCAAAAUGUCAGCACAAAAACCAGGUCACAUGCUGAACCAAAAACAGAGCAGCAGCAAAAUCGAACCUCAUAAGUUCCUACUCACUCAACAAUCUGCAAAACCAUUUUACAGAGAUAUUCUUGAGACAUAUACCUACAACUUUCAUGUUUGAAAAUUUUCGAGAUAAAGCCUCUAAGGUCACGAAAUCAUAAGUGAAAAAUCUGCCCAGAAAUUUCAGCUUCAAGAUCACAAGUAAAAGCAUGUUUACUCUUGAUUAAACAAUUCCAAAACACAUAAUCAUCAAUAAUUUCAUAUCAUUAACCCUAAUUUACAGCAAAAUCAAGCAAUUAAAAUUACUCACCUUUGUUUUCCUUGAUUAAGAAAGCCCAAAUCUUUCAAGCUUAAAAGAAGAAUUUGAUUUUCACUUACUAAAAGUUUUGUAGAGUUUGAUUUGGAAAAUCAAAGUUGAAGAAGGAAAGAAGAAAAAUGAGAGAGACAAAGAAGAAAAAGGAAAU